CCUACGGGAGGCAGCAGUGGGGAAUAUUGGGCAAUGGGCGCAAGCCUGACCCAGCAACGCCGCGUGAAGGAAGAAGGCUUUCGGGUUGUAAACUUCUUUUAACAGGGACGAAGCAAGUGACGGUACCUGAUGAAUAAGCCACGGCUAACUACGUGCCAGCAGCCGCGGUAAUACGUAGGUGGCAAGCGUUAUCCGGAUUUAAGGGGUGUAAAGGGCGGGUAGGCGGGAGUGCAAGUCAGAUGGGAAAACUAUGGGCUCAACCCAUAUCCUGCAUUUGAAACUGUACUUCUUGAGUGCUGGAGAGGCAAGCGGAAUUCCGGGUGUAGCGGUGAAAUGCGUAGAUAUACGGAGGAACACCAGUUGCGAAGGCAGAUUGCUGGACCGUAACUGACGCUGAGGCGCGAAAGCGUGGGGAGCAAACAGGAUUAGAUACCCCGGUAGUC
rnacentral:rRNA from 1 species